CCAAUGGACGACGAGGAGCUGGCGGCCCAUAUUUGUAACGGGCUGGACGCUGAAUUCAAUCCGGUGGUGACAUCUGUUACUGCUCGGACUGAACCGCUCUCAAUUCAUGAGUUGUACUCUCAGCUUCUUAGCUUUGAGA
rfam:Setaria italica strain Yugu1 chromosome V, whole genome shotgun sequence.